GACGAACGCUGGCGGCGUGCUUAACACAUGCAAGUCGAACGGAAAGGCCCUGCUUUUGUGGGGUGCUCGAGUGGCGAACGGGUGAGUAACACGUGAGUAACCUGCCCUUGACUUUGGGAUAACUUCAGGAAACUGGGGCUAAUACCGGAUAGGAGCUCCUGCUGCAUGGUGGGGGUUGGAAAGUUUCGGCGGUUGGGGAUGGACUCGCGGCUUAUCAGCUUGUUGGUGGGGUAGUGGCUUACCAAGGCUUUGACGGGUAGCCGGCCUGAGGGGUGACCGGCCACAUUGGGACUGAGAUACGGCCCAGACUCCUACGGGAGGCAGCAGUGGGGAAUAUUGCACAAUGGGCGGAAGCCUGAUGCAGCAACGCCGCGUGCGGGAUGACGGCCUUCGGGUUGUAAACCGCUUUCGCCUGUGACGAAGCGUGAGUGGCGGUAAUGGGUAAAGAAGCACCGGCUAACUACGUG
rnacentral:rRNA from 1 species